rnacentral:rRNA from 1 species
CCCUUAGAUGUUCUGGGCCGCACGCGCGCUACACUGAUUCAUGCACUAAGUAUAUAACCUUGGUAGAAAUGCUUGGGUAAUCUUCGAAACUGAAUCGUGCUGGGGAUUGGAGCUUGUAAUUAUUCUCCAUGAACGAGGAAUUCCUAGUAAACGCGAGUCAUCAGCUCGCAUUGAUUACGUCCCUGCCCUUUGUACACACCGCCCGUCGCACCUACCGAUUGAAUGGACCGGUGAAAUCUUCGGACCGCGCAACGCCGCAAGGUGAUGCGUGGAAAGUUGCUUAAACCUUACCAUUUAGAGGAAGGUGAAGUCGUAACA